rnacentral:rRNA from 1 species
GAUCAUGGCUCAGGAUGAACGCUAGCUACAGGCUUAACACAUGCAAGUCGAGGGGUAGCACGGAGGAAGCUUGCUUCCUUGGGUGACGACCGGCGCACGGGUGAGUAACGCGUAUCCGACCUACCCAUAACACGGGCACAGCCGCUCGAAAGAGUGAUUGAUUCCCGAUAUGUUAUAUAAGUAGAUUAUAUAAUGAAAGAUUUAUCGGUUAUGGAUGGGGAUGCGUAAGAUUAGGUAGUAGGCGGGGUAACGGCCCACCUAGCCGACGAUCUUUAGGGGUUCUGAGAGGAAGGUCCCCCACACUGGUACUGAGACACGGACCAGACUCCUACGGGGGGCAGCAGUGAGGAAUAUUGGUCAAUGGGCGGAAGCCUGAACCAGCCAAGUAGCGUGAAGGAUUACAGCCCUACGGGUUUUAAACUUCUUUUAUGCGAGAGUAAUGUGCGCUACGUGUAGCGUAUUGCAAGUAUCGCAUGAAUAAGCAUCGGCUAACUCCGUG